rnacentral:piRNA from 1 species
CAGCUUUUGCGAAUUGACCCUGGCCGGC